GCGCGAAAACUUUACAAUGCGGGAAACCGUGAUAAGGGAAUCUCGAGUGCCAGCAUAUAAUGUUGGCUGUCCAGAUGCCUAAAAAGCAUCUGUUAGCAAGGGCCGGGCAAGACCGGUGCCAGCCGCCGCGGUAACACCGGCGGCCCGAGUGGUAACCGCUAUUAUUGGGUCUAAAGGGUCUGUAGCCGGCCAGGUAAGUCCCUUGGGAAAUCUGGCAGCUCAACUGUCAGGCUGCUAGGGGAUACUGCUUGGCUUGGGACCGGGAGAGGUGAGAGGUACCUUGGGGGUAGGGGUGAAAUCUUGUGAUCCUCGGGGGACCACCAGUGGCGAAGGCGUCUCACCAGAACGGGUCCGACGGUAAGGGACGGAAGCUAGGGGCACGAACCGGAUUAGAUACCCGGGUAGUCCUAGCCGUAAACGAUGCUCGCUAGGUGUCAGUCACGGUGCGACCGUGAUUGGUGCCGUAGGGAAGCCGUGAAGCGAGCCACCUGGGAAGUAUGGCCGCAAGGCUGAAACUUAAAGGAAUUGGCGGGGGAGCACUACAACGGGUGGAGCCUGCGGUUUAAUUGGAUUCAACGCCGGAAAUCUCACCGGGGGCGACAGCAAUAUGAAGGUCAGGCUGAAGACCUUACCGGAUUAGCU
rnacentral:rRNA from 1 species